GAGUGGGCGGCGUGCCUAUAAUGCAAGUCGAGCGAACUGAUUAGAAGCUUGCUUCUAUGACGUUAGCGGCGGACGGGUGAGUAACACGUGGGCAACCUGCCUGUAAGACUGGGAUAACUUCGGGAAACCGAAGCUAAUACCGGAUAGGAUCUUCUCCUUCAUGGGAGAUGAUUGAAAGAUGGUUUCGGCUAUCACUUACAGAUGGGCCCGCGGUGCAUUAGCUAGUUGGUGAGGUAACGGCUCACCAAGGCAACGAUGCAUAGCCGACCUGAGAGGGUGAUCGGCCACACUGGGACUGAGACACGGCCCAGACUCCUACGGGAGGCAGCAGUAGGGAAUCUUCCGCAAUGGACGAAAGUCUGACGGAGCAACGCCGCGUGAGUGAUGAAGGCUUUCGGGUCGUAAAACUCUGUUGUUAGGGAAGAACAAGUACAAGAGUAACUGCUUGUACCUUGACGGUACCUAACCAGAAAGCCACGGCUAACUACGUGCCAGCAGCCGCGGUAAUACGUAGGUGGCAAGCGUUAUCCGGAAUUAUUGGGCGUAAAGCGCGCGCAGGCGGUUUCUUAAGUCUGAUGUGAAAGCCCACGGCUCAACCGUGGAGGGUCAUUGGAAACUGGGGAACUUGAGUGCAGAAGAGAAAAGCGGAAUUCCACGUGUAGCGGUGAAAUGCGUAGAGAUGUGGAGGAACACCAGUGGCGAAGGCGGCUUUUUGGUCUGUAACUGACGCUGAGGCGCGAAAGCGUGGGGAGCAAACAGGAUUAGAUACCCUGGUAGUCCACGCCGUAAACGAUGAGUGCUAAGUGUUAGAGGGUUUCCGCCCUUUAGUGCUGCAGCUAACGCAUUAAGCACUCCGCCUGGGGAGUACGGUCGCAAGACUGAAACUCAAAGGAAUUGACGGGGGCCCGCACAAGCGGUGGAGCAUGUGGGUUUAAUUCGAAGCAACGCGAAGAACCUUACCAGGUCUUGACAUCCUCUGACAACUCUAGAGAUAG
rnacentral:rRNA from 2 species